rnacentral:rRNA from 1 species
GACGGAGGAUGCAAGUGUUAUCCGGAAUCACUGGGCGUAAAGCGUCUGUAGGUGGUUUAAAAAGUCUACUGUUAAAAAUUGAAGCUUAACUUCAAAGAUGCCGUAGAAACUUUUAAACUUGAGGAUGGUAGGGGUAGAGGGAAUUUCCAGUGGAGCGGUGAAAUGCGUAGAUCUUGGAAAGACCACCAAUGGCGAAGGCACUCUACUGGGCCAUGACUGACACUAAGAGACGAAAGCUAGGGGAGCAA